CAGCAGCCACGGGAAUACGAGGGGGGCAAGCGUUGUUCGGAAUUAUUGGGCGUAAAGGGUGCGUAGGCGGCUUCUUAAGUCGGAUGUGAAAUCCCUGAGCUUAACUUAGGAAUUGCAUUCGAUACUGGGAAGCUAGAGUAUGGGAGAGGAUGGUAGAAUUCCAGGUGUAGCGGUGAAAUGCGUAGAGAUCUGGAGGAAUACCGAUGGCGAAGGCAGCCAUCUGGCCUAAUACUGACGCUGAGGUACGAAAGCAUGGGGAGCAAACAGGAUUAGAUACCCCCGUAGUCCCUGUCUCUUAUAC
rnacentral:rRNA from 1 species